AGCAGCCGCGGUAAUUCCAGCUCCAAUAGCGUAUAUUAAAGUUGUUGCAGUUAAAAAGCUCGUAGUUGAAUUUCGGGGUUAGUAGGUUGGUCGUGCCACUGGUACGUACUGGUCUCACUGAUUCCUCCUUCCUGAUGAACUGUAAUGCCAUUAAUUUGGUGUUGCAGGGAAACUGGACUGUUACUUUGAAAAAAUUUAGAGUGUUUAAAGCAAGCUAACGCUUGAAUACAUUAGCAUGGAAUAAUGAAAUAGGACGUUCGAUCCUAUUUUGUUGGUUUCUAGGAUUGACGUAAUGAUUAAUAGGGAUAGUUGGGGGCAUUAGUAUUCAAUUGUCAGAGGUGAAAUUCUUGGAUUUAUUGAAGACUAACUAUUGCGAAAGCAUUUGCCAAGGAUGUUUUCAUUAAUCAAGAACGAAAGUUAGGGGAUCGAAGACGAUCAGAUACCGUCGUAGUCUUAACCAUAAACUAUGCCGACUAGGGAUCGGAUGAUGUUAAUUUUUUCAAUGACUCAUUCGGCGCCU
rnacentral:rRNA from 1 species